rnacentral:rRNA from 1 species
UCUGGCGGCCGUAGCGCGGUGGUCCCACCUGACCCCAUGCCGAACUCAGAAGUGAAACGCCGUAGCGCCGAUGGUAGU